CUCCCCUCAACAGCUGGUAAUUUUCUUCGCUUCUGCCUUUGCUAUUCAUUUAAAAUCAAGAUUCAUAAUCACUUUUGCUACCUCAAAUGAGGCUGACAUAAUUUUUCUGUGCAAGAGGGAGUUUUAGGGGAGGGGAAAUAGAAAAUCUAUUUUAUGUUAUAUUAUUUGUACAGUUUACUGUUUCAUUUUUCUUAUAUCUAUUUUGAUUUUAGGUUGAGAAAUAUAAAGCAGCUAAUCAGAGAGCCAAACAAAUUCUAGAGAAGGUAUACAGACUUUUCCCUUGCCUUAUAAUUAUCUUCAUAAACUAGUGCAAGUUUUAACCAGCAAGCUUUAGGACCAUACAACCUUAUAGUAUUUGUUGUUGCAUAUUUUUGUGAACAAUGUGGCCUUUUGGGUGCUGUUUUCUCCUUAUAACUUGUAG
rnacentral:lncRNA from 1 species